GAUGAACGCUGGCGGCGUGCCUAAUACAUGCAAGUCGAGCGAACAGACGAGGAGCUUGCUCCUCUGACGUUAGCGGCGGACGGGUGAGUAACACGUGGAUAACCUACCUAUAAGACUGGGAUAACCUCGGGAAACCGGAGCUAAUACCGGAUAAUAUAUUGAACCGCAUGGUUCAAUAGUGAAAGACGGUUUUGCUGUCACUUAUAGAUGGAUCCGCGCCGCAUUAGCUAGUUGGUAAGGUAACGGCUUACCAAGGCAACGAUGCGUAGCCGACCUGAGAGGGUGAUCGGCCACACUGGAACUGAGACACGGUCCAGACUCCUACGGGAGGCAGCAGUAGGGAAUCUUCCGCAAUGGGCGAAAGCCUGACGGAGCAACGCCGCGUGAGUGAUGAAGGUCUUCGGAUCGUAAAACUCUGUUAUUAGGGAAGAACAAAUGUGUAAGUAACUAUGCACGUCUUGACGGUACCUAAUCAGAAAGCCACGGCUAACUACGU
rnacentral:rRNA from 1 species